rnacentral:rRNA from 1 species
UCGGGGAGUGGAGAGUGGCGCACGGGUGAGUAACACGUGAGCAACCUGCCGGGAAGCCCGGGAUAGCCCGCCGAGAGGAGGAUUAAUACCGGAUGUGGCCACCCUGCGAUUGCGGGGGAAGCUAAAGGAUUUAUUCACUUCCCGAGGGGCUCGCGGCCCAUCAGCUUGUUGGUGAGGGUAACGGCCCACCAAUGCGACAACGGGUAGCUGGUCUGAGAGGAUGGUCAGCCACACUGGAACUGAGACACGGUCCAGACACCUACGGGUGGCAGCAGUCGAGAAUCAUUCGCAAUGGGGGAAACCCUGACGAUGCGACGCCGCGUGGAGGAUGAAGGCCUUAGGGUUGUAAACUCCUGUCAAGAGGGAAUAAGCAAGUGAAGGUACCUCUAGAGGAAGGGGCGGCUAAUUCCGUGCCAGCAGCCGCGGUAACGCGGAAGCCCCGAGCGUUGUUCGGAUUCCUUGGGCGUACCGGGUGCGUAGGCGGCGCGGAAAGUCCGGCGUGAGAGGCAGGGGCUCAACCUCUGGACUGCGUCGGAUACUUCCGUG